CCUACGGGAGGCAGCAGUGAGGAAUAUUGGUCAAUGGACGAGAGGCUGAACCAGCCAAGCAGCGUGAAGGAUGACGGCCCCAAGGGUUGUAAACUUCUUUUAUCAAGGAAUAAAACGAGGCACGUGUGCCUUUUUGCAUGUACUUUAUGAAUAAGGAUCGGCUAACUCCGUGCCAGCAGCCGCGGUAAUACGGAGGAUCCGAGCGUUAUCCGGAUUUAUUGGGUUUAAAGGGAGCGUAGAUGGGUUGUUAAGUCAGUUGUGAAAGUGUGCGGCUGAACCGUAAGAGUGCCAUUGAUACUGGCAGUCUUGAGUACAGGUGAGGUAGGCGGAAUUCGUAGUGUAGCGGUGAAAUGCUUAGAUAUCACGAAGAACCCCGAUUGCGAAGGCAGCUUA
rnacentral:rRNA from 1 species